GAAAUGCGAUAAGUAAUGUGAAUUGCAGAAUUCCGUGAAUAAUCGAAUCUUUGAACGCACAUUGCGACCUCUGGCAUUCCGGGGGGCAUGCCUGUCCGAGCGUCAUUACGCACCCUCAAGCCCGGCUUGUGUGAUGGGCCCCGGCGUCUCGUUCGCGAGACGGGCCCGAAAGGCAGCGGCGGCGUCGACCCGAUGAGCCCGAGCGUAUGGGGACUUCUGUCACACGUUCGCGGUGCGGACCGGCGCCUGCUUGACUUUUCUGAUUAUCCAGGUUGACCUCGGAUCAGGUAGGGAUACCCGCUGAACUUAAGC
rnacentral:misc_RNA from 1 species